UCCCACCUGGCACCACGGGUGGCACCCCCUGCCCAAUGCUAAAGUAAAUGGCUGCAGUACCCUGACUGUACAAAGGUAGCAUAAUAAUUUGGCCCCUCAUUAGGGUCUAGAAUGAAAGGGGUAAUAAGGCACUAUCUAUUAACGCUAGGCUCAAGUUAAUUUUAGGAGUUGAUUAAAACUUUAACUCCAAUCUGCUUGAAGAUAAGACCCCAUAGAGCUGCUCUAUCCCUCAACCCUAAUUGAAUUUAUCAUCUACUAAGGUUGCUCUAUUAGCUUACUGGGGCGGUAAGUCAAUUUAUCUAACUCUUAUAAAAAGCCACCAUCACUAAGAUCUCUAACCAGUAUACGCAUAGUUACCUUGGGGCUAACAGUGUAAUAGACUUAUAGAGCCCAAAUCGAAAAGUACGCUUACAACCUCGAUGUUGAAUUAAAGGUGCUGUUUAGCGUAGCUGUUAAAUAAGCUGGUUUGUUCAACCAUUAAACCUUU
rnacentral:rRNA from 1 species